GAGUCCCCUCGCGGCGGCACAUGUGUGCGGGGUCAGCCCGCGGCGGGGACGAUGGUGAAAUUCCCGGCGCGCACGCACUACGGGCCCCUGAUCCGGUUCCUGGUGCCCCUGGGCAUCGCCAACAGAGCCAUCGACUUCGGGGAGCAGUUCUAUUUGAACUACUUCUCCAUGGCAGCACCAUGCUAGGCUAAGAAGGUGAAAGAGUGAAUAAAACAGUCUCAGCCAGCACGCAUCCAACAUUUUAUUGGGACUCUAAAUGACUUGAGGCAACUCUUUGUAGAAUAUAAGGCAAACAAGGGAAGAUGAUGAUAACACAUACUGCCCUGCGUAAAAAGGAAAGCUUUACUUCAAAGAUCAGCGGUGAAAAUGAGUUUGUGUAACUGAUUUCCCCAAAUGGUUACCACAGCUAAUUAUUUUAUCUGUGAAUGAGAUGGUCACAGGGAAUGUGACGUUUGUGACUUUUCAAAUUUUCCUUGUUAAAAUAUUUUGAAGGGGCUAGACUUCCUGUGUUCAAAGCUGACGCCAAAGUGGACUCCUCUGCCUUGGGAGUAUGAAGAAACGGUCCUAUGUUAGAGACAUUUUUAUCUUGUUCAGAAUUAUUUCAGGGCAUUUUCACCCACUUUGCAACAAGCUGCUUCCCUUGCAUGUAGUUUUCUAGAGCAUAUGGCUGCCCUGCUGUGCACAGAAUGAAAUCGCAAAGUUAAGCUUUACAAUUUUAGGAAGAGAGAAACUUCGUGUAUGGCAGAACAGCAUGGUGUUAGCUUUAGGGUGCAUCGCAGAGAAUAUGUUUCUCUUCAUAAUUACAUCAUUUGUGCUCUACAUCAUGGACUUUAAAAAUUAGUGUUGAUGCUUGAUUUUUCUUUGUUUAAAAUAUUCUUGAAAUGGCAAUUCUUCAUAAUACCAAGUGGGAUUAAAGUGACAAAAAUUUCUAGAUGGAUUUUAUCCAGAGCCCAAAGAGGAUAGAAAUUUUUCAUUUAGUAGGCUUACAUUAAGGAAAAAAAAAAGGUCAUCAACUUUUCUAGACUUUCCCAUUAGAAAGGAAUGGAGCCAAAGAUGAUUUUACUAAAAAGACUACAUGAUGAUUUGAAUUUCAUACAGCAGUUAGCUUUUCUACACCAUUUUUAUUCAUCUAUUCACACCUUUAAAAUAAAGUAUUUCAGACGCUUCAAGCCGUGGUAUUAUGCUUGGCACUAUCAGUAAAUAACGUCUUUAUUCAGUAUGAAAUUCAGUUAAUGAAGCCGAUUCUGUUCUGUACUAAUGUGAAACGUGCUUAAAGUCAGAUACUGUCGACUACUUAAAAUUUUAUAUUAGCUUUGCAUUAAAAAGAAUAAAUGAAGAUAA